rnacentral:rRNA from 1 species
AUUGAACGCUGGCGGCAGGCCUAACACAUGCAAGUCGAGCGGGGUUUUCGGACCUAGCGGCGGACGGGUGAGUAAUGCGUAGGAAGCUACCCGAUAGAGGGGGAUACCAGUUGGAAACGACUGUUAAUACCGCAUAAUGUCUACGGACCAAAGUGUGGGACCUUCGGGCCACAUGCUAUCGGAUGCGCCUACGUGGGAUUAGCUAGUUGGUGGGGUAAUGGCUCACCAAGGCGACGAUCCCUAGCUGGUUUGAGAGGAUGAUCAGCCACACUGGAACUGAGACACGGUCCAGACUCCUACGGGAGGCAGCAGUGGGGAAUAUUGGACAAUGGGCGCAAGCCUGAUCCAGCCGUGCCGCGUGUGUGAAGAAGGCCUUCGGGUUGUAAAGCACUUUCAGUAGGGAGGAAGGGUGUUGUGUUAAUAGCACAGCAUUUUGACGUUACCUACAGAAGAAGCACCGGCUAACUACGUGCCAGCCGCCGCAGUAACAC